AGAAUCAACGCUGGCGGCGUGCCUAACACAUGCAAGUCGAACGAGAAAGUGGAGCAAUCCGCGAGUAAAGUGGCGCACGGGUGAGUAACACGUGACUAACCUACCCUUGAGUGGGGGGAUAACCUAGGGAAACCUGGGCUAAUACCGCAUAAUACCUUCGGGUCAAAGGAGCAAUUCGCUUAAGGAGGGGGUCGCGGCCGAUUAGUUAGUUGGCGGGGUAAUGGCCCACCAAGACGAUGAUCGGUAUCCGGCCUGAGAGGGCGCACGGACACACUGGAACUGAAACACGGUCCAGACUCCUACGGGAGGCAGCAGUGGGGAAUUUUCCGCAAUGGGCGCAAGCCUGACGGAGCGACGCCGCGUGUGGGAAGAAGGCCUUCGGGUCGUAAACCACUGUCGAAGGGGACGAUAUUGACGGUACCUUGGAGGAAGCCCGGCUAACUACGCGCCAGCAGCCGC
rnacentral:rRNA from 1 species